rnacentral:rRNA from 1 species
AUUGAACGCUGGCGGCAUGCUUUACACAUGCAAGUCGAACGGUACAGGGAGCGUUGCUCCGCUGACGAGUGGCGAACGGGUGAGUAAUAUAUCGGAACGUACCCAAGAGGUGGGGAUAACGUAGCGAAAGUUACGCUAAUACCGCAUACGAUCUAAGGAUGAAAGGCAGGGGACCGCAAGGCCUUGUGCUCCUGGAGCGGCCGAUAUCUGAUUAGCUAGUUGGUAGGGUAAAGGCCUACCAAGGCAUCGAUCAGUA